rnacentral:rRNA from 1 species
GACGAACGCUGGCGGCGUGCUUAACACAUGCAAGUCGAACGGAAAGGCCCUGCUUUUGUGGGGUGCUCGAGUGGCGAACGGGUGAGUAACACGUGAGUAACCUGCCCUUGACUUUGGGAUAACUUCAGGAAACUGGGGCUAAUACCGGAUAGGAGCUCCUGCUGCAUGGUGGGGGUUGGAAAGUUUCGGCGGUUGGGGAUGGACUCGCGGCUUAUCAGCUUGUUGGUGGGGUAGUGGCUUACCAAGGCUUUGACGGGUAGCCGGCCUGAGAGGGUGACCGGCCACAAUGGGACUGAGAUACGGCCCAGACUCGUACGGGAGGCAGCAGUGGGGAAUAUUGCACAAUGGGGGGAAGCCUGAUGCAGAAACGCCGCGUGCGGGAUGACGGCCUUCGGGUUGUAAACCGCUUUGGAAUGUGACGAAGAGUGAGUGACGGUAAUGGGUAAAGAAGCACCGGCUAACUACGUG